GNUUNAUUCGAUGAUACGCGAGGAACCUUACCAGGGCUUAAAUGCAAGUUGAAUGAUGUGGAAACAUGUCAGUCUUCGGACAAUUUGCAAGGUGCUGCAUGGCUGUCGUCAGCUCGUGCCGUGAGGUGUUGGGUUAAGUCCCGCAACGAGCGCAACCCCCAUCUUUAGUUGCUAGCAGGUAAUGCUGAGGACUCUAAAGAAACUGCCUACGCAAGUAGUGAGGAAGGCGGGGACGACGUCAAGUCAUCACGGCCCUUACGUCCUGGGCCACACACGUGCUACAAUGGUUGGUACAGAGGGCAGCUACCGGGUGACCGGAUGCGAAUCUCUAAAGCCAAUCUCAGUUCGGAUUGGAGUCUGCAACUCGACUCUAUGAAGCUGGAAUCGCUAGUAAUCGCGCAUCAGCCAUGGCGCGGUGAAUACGUUCCCGGGCCUUGUACACACCGCCCGUCAAACAAUGGAAGCUGGGGGUGCCUGAAGUCGGUAACCGCAA
rnacentral:rRNA from 1 species